CAGGUUGAAGGUUGGGUAACACUAACUGGAGGACCGAACCGACUAAUGUUGAAAAAUUAGCGGAUGACCUGUGGCUGGGGGUGAAAGGCCAAUCAAACCGGGAGAUAGCUGGUUCUCCCCGAAAGCUAUUUAGGUAGCGCCUCGUGAAUUCAUCUCCGGGGGUAGAGCACUGUUUCGGCUAGGGGGCCAUCCCGGCUUACCAACCCGAUGCAAACUGCGAAUACCGGAGAAUGUUAUCACGGGAGACACACGGCGGGUGCUAACGUCCGUCGUGAAGAGGGAAACAACCCAGACCGCCAGCUAAGGUCCCAAAGUCAUGGUUAAGUGGGAAACGAUGUGGGAAGGCCCAGACAGCCAGGAUGUUGGCUUAGAAGCAGCCAUCAUUUAAAGAAAGCGUAAUAGCUCACUGGUCGAGUCGGCCUGCGCGGAAGAUGUAACGGGGCUAAACCAUGCACCGAAGCUGCGG
rnacentral:rRNA from 1 species